UUUAUUUAAAAAUAAAUAUGUACAAAAAUUUCACGCUCUCCAGAAAUUUAUUAACAAAGCCGCUAAGACCUGCAAAGGACCGACCUCCAUCUCCGGCGGCGGUGAUUCCACUACGACACUCUGAGUAACGCCGGUGGACUCACCCUGAAACGCUAGCCCGUGUUCGUCGUUGGGAGGAACUCGGGCUUCUUUCUUGCUUUCAUUGUUGAUAGCGGUUGGGGGCUUCCAUUCCAUUCACAGAUUGUUGCCGCAGCAGCGGACGACGUCGUAUAGCUGCGGCUGAUUGAUCCUACCUUCUAAAGUCCAUUUUUCUUCCUUUUUGUUUUGCUGAUGGUUCACGAAACCAGCGGCUCAUUGGCAAUGGAGUUGGAGAAUGGAGAACAACCUCUGAAUUUGGGAGAUGGGGAUAGCAACGCUCUAAUCUUGACAAAUAACAAGAGGAAUAAGAAGAAUGACAUGAAGCAGUGUAAAAAGCUGAAGAAAAAGGAAGCACCGAAGUUGAGUAAAUCCCAGAAAAGGAAGCUGAAGAAGUUGGCGGAGGACAAGGAAAAAGAAAGUUUGCUCUUAAAAAGUAUUGAGAAUUUGAAGAAAUAUGAAAUUCCAGAGAAUGCAUAUUCUCUUCUGCGGUCAUCUCAUAGUAUUGGUCAGGUCGAAUCUAAGAAGGAAAAACGUAGGAGGACUGUAGAAUUUUCCAAAGCUGGCCUAGAAGUUCCACAUAGUGAUCAAUCAUCUAAGAAAAGGGAUGCUGAGAGUUCUUCAAGUGAGAGUGAGAAUGAGUUAGACCAGGUGCAAUUGAUGUUAGAACAAAGAGUAGUCCUAAACACUGCUGCUUUUCAGUUGGAUUCACCUCAAAAUGUGAACAGUGGAUCUCCUGCUGCCUCACUUGUUGAAAAUCCUUUGAAUGAGGAUAGUGGUACUUGUUUGAGAGAAGACAAAAAUUUUAUACCCGAUGAUAACACAACAAGCACAAACUUAAUGGAUGGGUUAACUAAGAGUGCUAAAACAGAUGAGGUUAUAAAGCCAACUGUAGUGCAUGUAUCAAGGCCAGAUGAGGUUGAGAAUAAGAGAAAGGACCUUCCAAUUAUCAUGAUGGAGCAGGAGAUUAUGGAAGCUAUUAAUUACCACUCAACUGUGAUUAUAUGUGGAGAAACUGGCUGUGGUAAAACAACCCAAGUUCCUCAGUUUCUUUAUGAAGCUGGCUUUGGUUCAACACAGUCUAUUACUCGAAGUGGUAUCAUUGGUAUUACACAACCUCGCCGGGUUGCUGUUCUUGCUACUGCUAAGCGAGUUGCAUAUGAGCUUGGCCUAUCUUUAGGUAAAGAAGUGGGUUUUCAAGUUAGGUAUGACAAGAAGAUUGGUGAUAGUUGCUCAAUCAAGUUCAUGACAGAUGGAAUAUUACUACGAGAACUUCAGAGUGAUUUUUUGUUGAGGAAAUAUUCUGUCAUAAUUCUUGAUGAGGCUCAUGAGAGGAGCUUGAACACAGACAUUCUUAUUGGAAUGCUGUCGCGUGUUAUUCAAGGCCGUGAGAAAAUAUAUACACAACAGCAGAAAUUGGCACUUUCAGGACACAAUACAAGUCCUGAAAAUAGGAUUUUUCCAUUGAAACUUGUGCUGAUGAGUGCCACAUUGCGAGUGGAGGACUUCAUUUCUGGUCAAAGGUUGUUUUGUGAUCCCCCACCUGUACUUGAAGUCCCUACCAGACAGUUUCCAGUAACUGUACACUUCUCAAAAAGAACUGAUGUUGUAGAUUAUAUUGGCCAAGCAUAUAAAAAGGUCCUGGCAAUACACAAGAAUCUGCCACCUGGAGGGAUACUUGUCUUUGUCACUGGACAGAGGGAAGUAGAGUACUUAUGUGGGAAGCUACGUAGAGCUUCAAGGGAAUUGUUAAUGAAUACAUCUAAAGGCAAAAAUGGGAACGAUGACACUCCAGUAUCUGAAAUGAAUUCUGUUGAGGGAAUAAACAUGGAAGAUAUUAAUGAAGCUUUUGAUGUUCAGGUACAUUCAGCGGAACAGCAAACUGACAGAUUCAGCUCAAACGAUGAUGAAAAUCAGUUUGAUAUAGAUGAGGACGAGUUGGACUUAUCAUAUGAUUCAGGAACAGAGAGUGAACUGGAAAUUAUCAAUGAUGAUGGGGAUCCAAUGCACCAUGGUAGUGAUAUUGUAGAUGUGUUUGGGAAGAAUGGGAAUCUUGCAUCACUGAAGGCUGCUUUUGAAGAGUUGGCUGGACAGACUACUUUAAACUCUGAUUCUAAUGGGAUAAAGCCUCUUCCUGUUGCACAUGAUGGUUGCUUAGACCAAUCCACAUCAAGCACAUGCAAGAACAGUCAGGCUGAAUGUGGUCCCUGUGCUGUUGCACUGCGAGUCCUUCCUCUUUAUGCCAUGCUGCCUGCAGCAGCUCAACUUCGUGUAUUUGAAGAAAUAAAGGAAGGAGAACGGCUUGUAGUUGUGGCUACUAAUGUGGCUGAAACCUCUCUAACUAUACCUGGGGUAAAGUAUGUUGUUGAUACUGGAAGGGAGAAAGUGAAGUAUUACAACUCUUCCAAUGGUAUGGAAACAUAUGAAAUACAGUGGAUAAGCAAGGCAUCAGCUGCCCAAAGGGCAGGACGAGCUGGAAGAACUGGUCCCGGCCAUUGUUACCGUCUGUACUCUCCUGCAGUCUACAAUAAUAUAUUUCCGGAUUUUUCUCUUGCUGAAAUAUCAAAAGUACCUGUUGAUGGAGUUGUCCUCCUCAUGAAAUCCAUGCAUAUUGAUAAGGUUGCCAACUUUCCAUUUCCAACUCCUCCUGAGGCUACUGCCUUGAAUGAAGCAGAGCGUUGCCUGAAGGCCCUCGAGGCACUUGAUAGUAAUGGAAAACUAACUUAUUUAGGAAAGGCCAUGGCUCGCUACCCCAUGAGUCCUCGCCACUCCAGGAUGCUCCUUACGGUUAUUCAAAUAAUGAAGAAGAAAAGUGAUGCUCGACCAAAUCUAGUUCUAGCAUAUGCAGUGGCAUCGGCUGCAGCCUUGAGCUUGUCAAACCCUUUUGUCUUGCAGUUUGAAAAUAGUGACAGUAAAGGAGGUGACAUAGAGCAGGAUAAAAGUUCUGAAGCCUUGGAGAACAAGAAAGUAGACAAGCAAGAAAAAAUGAGAAAGAAGAAACUAAAAGAAACUGUAAAAGUGUCGAGAGAAAAAUUCUCUAAUCCUAGCAGUGAUGCUCUAUCCAUUGCCUAUGCUUUACAGUGUUUUGAACUAUCCAAAAGCCCUGUGGAAUUCUGCAAUGAGAAUGCUUUACACCUUAAAACCAUGGAGGAAAUGUCGAAGCUGAGAAAGCAGCUGCUUCAACUUGUCAUUAAUCAUGGUAGUAGUUGUGGUCUUGAGCAGGAUUUUUCAUGGACAUAUGGAACUCUGGAGGACAUAGAACAAGUUUGGAGUGUAUCCUACGAUAGGAAUCCUCUUUCAUUAUAUGAGGAAGAGCUCUUAGGCCAAGCUAUAUGUGCUGGUUGGGCAGAUAGGGUUGCCAAGCGCAUUAGAGGAAGUUCUGGGUCAUCAGAAGGAGAUAAGAAAGUUAAUGCAGUUCGGUAUCAAGCGUGUAUGGUUAAAGAAACUGUGUUCCUGCACCGUUGGUCCUCUGUUGCUAAUUCAGCUCCAGAGAUUUUGGUGUACAGUGAAUUGUUGCAAACAAGACGACCAUACAUGCAUGGGGUGACAAGGGUGAAGUCAGAAUGGCUUGUACAGUAUGCUUGCUCUUUAUGCACUUUUUCUGCACCUUCUGCUGAUACCAAACCUUAUUACGACCCUCAAACUGACCGAGUAUUACACUAUGCGAUUCCAACUUUUGGGCCUCAUUUAUGGGAGCUUCCUCCACAUAGUUUACCAAUAAGUGACAAAGUUCUUCGUGUGGUAGUUUUUGCUUAUGCUUUGCUUGAUGGCCAGGUGUUACCGUGCGUAAGAUCUGUCCGUGAGUUCAUGGCAGCCCCUCCUGCAACCAUUUUGAGGCCAGAGGCAUCAGGCCAAAGACGGGUUGGCAAUCUAUUAAAGAAGAUGAAGAACAAAUUGAUAGACAAUUGUGGUAUGUUGAGAGAGGUCUGGAUGGAAAACCCCAGGGAACUGUAUUCUGAAAUAUUGGGCUGGUUUCAGGAGAGUUUCUGCAAGAACUUUGAAGUGCUUUGGUCACAAAUGCUUAAGGAGGUUGUUUUGGAGGCCCAUGAUCGCUUCCCCAAAAGGUUGAAGAAAGUUAAAUUUAAAAAGUAAACUGCUUAUUUGGAUGCCCGACUGGGACGACGACAUAACUGAACUAAAAAUUCUGUAAAAUACAGAAUAUUUUCUUCACCCAGAAAAGGAGAAAAGGAAAUGAUCCAAACACUUGGACAAGCAAAGGACAUGAAUUUGAUCGUAAUGACUGACUUAAAAAGGACUGAUAUGGAGGGAAAAAGUUGCAGUGAGGGUUGUUUCAGAAUCAAAAUUGGGUGCUUCAAAGGAGAUUGUGCACACAAAAAUCACAGUGCUUUUAUGGCUGCAUUAUCUGUUAUGGGUUGAAUGUUGGAGUUGAUAUUGAAGGCCAUUUGUUCAACAAUUGAAAAAUGAAGGCCAAUCCCACCCUGGUUGCAAAUUGUAUGCAAGGAUGUCCAUGGGGUUGCAUGAUUGGAAGACAGCAAGGCAAAAAUGUUGACGCAACACAUGCAAGAUUAAUGGGCAUACGAAGAUAAUGCUGUGAUUCUACUUGGUAACAUUGCAAAGGUUUGCAAUUAAAUUUUAUAAUGAGUGUGUUGUUGGUGCUAUUCCCUUUGUUUUAAUGUUGGAUAAUUCUCCCUGUAAGACAGAUCCAUUUGAAUAUAUAGACUUUUUUGUAAGUAA